GCACUGAAGAGAACAGUAAGUUGUGGAGUAAAUGAGGCAUAAUAAUUAAAAGGAUAAGCCGGAAAACUCCCACCUCGAUUCGGCUCAACGUCCCUCCAUAUUCAAAUUACCGUUAUCUAUUCCCAACUGAAGAGUGACUUAUGCGCCAAAAUGGAAUUUCAAGGGCAUAGAGGUUCCCAUAACCCUAAGGCCAUGCUCACUUCUCUACUGAGUACGAGAGAAAAGCUUCAAGAAGAGCUCCGAAAUGUUGAAAAGCAGGUUUAUGAGUUAGAGACGAGUUAUUUGCAAGAAACAAGCAAUUUUGGUAAUGCCUUCAAAGGUUUCGAUGGGUUCCUUUCAGCAUCGAAAAACACAGCAAACCUUAAGAGAAGCAAAAAGUUUCAGCCUGAAGAUAGGGUGUUUUCAUUGUCCUCUGUGACUUCACCUGCGACAGAAGAGCUUGGAACUGGGCAAGAAGAUGGGAAAUCAGAUCUUGGUCAAGUUCGGCCCAAGGGUGGAGGCAAAGCCAUUAAUGGGCCGUAAGUUUACUUUUUGUUCCUGUACAUGAUUAGAGACCUUUCUAUUCGUUUGGUGUCAGGACAGCUUUGAAAGGUUUAUAAUCAUUUCGUUGGUUUAUCUCACCAAAUGCUGAAUGUUAAAUGAGGCGGUUAUCGUUUCUGUUAUCUUCCAACCUUUUUAUAUCUAUGGCAAAGUGAAAUUGAAAUUCUUCUUUCAGCGGAAAACCAAAGAAGGGAAGAACAGGACAAAGAGAUGGAAAGAAAAUUAGGCUCUCAAAUGAUGCAGAUGUCGAUGCUGAAGAUGAUCAUGAUCUGAAUUUGAGAUAGCUAAUUGGUUACCGAGAUUUUGUAAUUUAAUCGUAGCAUGAAGUAGUUUGAUUCCAUGGUAUCACCCUUAGCUAAGUUAAACGUAUGAAUUGUACUAAUAUUAUUUGCUUAAUUACUAAAUACUAAUUGUCUCAGUAGGUGAUGGCUGAAGUGGAGUUUUUCUGUCAACUCAGCCAGAUGUAUAAUCUUAGUGUUUCCAUAAACCAUGUAACAGUAUGAGAGGAAUAAUAAAAAGCUGUGCUUGUUUAAACUAAA